AGUUUGAUCCUGGCUCAGAAUCAACGCUGGCGGCGUGCCUAACACAUGCAAGUCGAACGAGAAAGUGGAGCAAUCCAUGAGUAAAGUGGCGACCGGGUGAGUAACACGUGACUAACCUACCUCCGAGUGGGGAAUAACUCCGGGAAACCGGGGCUAAUACCGCAUAACAUCGCAAGAUCAAAGCAGCAAUGCGCUUGGAGAGGGGGUCGCGGCUAAUUAGCUAGUUGGCGGGGUAACGGCCCACCAAGGCGAAGAUCGGUAUCCGGCCUGAGAGGGCGCACGGACACACUGGAACUGAAACACGGUCCAGACUCCUACGGGAGGCAGCAGUGGGGAAUUUUGCGCAAUGGGGGAAACCCUGACGCAGCAACGCCGCGUGAAGGAUGAAGCCCUUUGGGGCGUAAACUCCAUUCGACUCGGACGAUAAUGACGGUACUACUGGAAGAAGCACCGGCUAACUCUGUGCCAACAACCGCGGUAAUACAUAGGGUGCAAGCGUUGUUCUGAAUUAUUGGGCGUAAAGGGCGCGUAGGCGGUGCGGUAAGUCACCUGUGAAACCUCCUGGCUUAACUG
rnacentral:rRNA from 1 species